CAACAACGGAUCUCUUGGUUCCGGCAUCGAUGAAGAACGCAGCGAAAUGCGAUAAGUAAUGUGAAUUGCAGAAUUCAGUGAAUCAUCGAGUCUUUGAACGCACAUUGCGCCCCCUGGUAUUCCGGGGGGCAUGCCUGUCCGAGCGUCAUUGCUGCCCUCAAGCACGGCUUGUGUGUUGGGCCCCCGUCCCCCCCUCCCGGGGGACGGGCCCGAAAGGCAGCGGCGGCACCGCGUCCGGUCCUCGAGCGUAUGGGGCUUUGUCACCCGCUCUGUAGGCCCGGCCGGCGCUUGCCGACCACCAUCAAUCUUUUUUCAGGUUGACCUCGGAUCAGGUAGGGAUACCCGCUGAACUUAA
rnacentral:misc_RNA from 1 species